rnacentral:lncRNA from 1 species
UCACUGGCACAGCCUACUUGCCUGGGGAGAGAUGUCCCAGAACAAAGCACCAGCUCCAUGAAGAAGGUGUUGUCAAUGCUGGCUGCUUGCUAAGGAAAGUGACAUGCCGGUGACAUUUAAUUGGAGUCAAGAUCAUAACCAAGGAUCACUGGGCAAAAUUCCUGUGCUCUCUCCAUAUUGUGGGGUAGAGGAUGGGGGUAGAAACCAUGGCUGAGGACAAGCAAGCAGAAUGGAGCCAAGCUUAGGACUGGUCCAUGGCACAAAGAAGAGACGAGAGUUAGAUCAACCCUUAGUCUGGCUGUUGGAAGGAAGACUUGGAAACGUCAAGGGUCCAGAAGAGGAGGGCGGGGCAUUUCUGGGGAUGGUAGAAGCGGGGAGGGACCAGUGUUCCGAGCCCCGCCUCAUUUCUGUUGCCCCGGGAAACCCCGGG